rnacentral:lncRNA from 1 species
CUUGGAAACACCUAAAGCUGAAGAGUUCUUAGCUAUGGCAGAGAAGAAAAUUACAAACUCUGAUGUUAUGUCAAGCCUCAAGGGCACAAUUCUAUAUCUGAAGACAUUUCAUCCUGCUCAUGACCAGACAUCUAAAUCUAUAGAUAGUCUAAGAACAGAGGUGGCCAAAGUCAAGGAGACAAAUGACCUGGAAAAGAAAAGGACCAUCAAUCCUAUGAAAGAAAGUGUACAGAAGCUGGU